ncrna:Eptesicus fuscus (big brown bat) microRNA efu-mir-9186c precursor
AGAGUGAGGGAGGCGGAAUGGCUGGUACUGAAGUAAUGACUGCACACAGUACCAGACAUGCCGCCCCCUUCCCUCUAC